CCUACGGGAGGCAGCAGUAAGGAAUAUUGGUCAAUGGACGAAAGUCUGAACCAGCCAUGCCGCGUGGAGGAUGGAGGUCCUCUGGAUUGUAAACUUCUUUUAUAUGGGACGAAAAAGGGCCUUUCUAGGUCAACUGACGGUACCAUGUGAAUAAGCACCGGCUAACUCCGUGCCAGCAGCCGCGGUAAU
rnacentral:rRNA from 1 species